AUACGAAGGGGGCUAGCGUUGUUCGGAUUUACUGGGCGUAAAGCGCACGUAGGCGGAUUGACAAGUUAGGGGAGAAAUCCCGAGGCUCAACCUCGGAACUGCCUCUAAAACUGUCAAUCUCGAGACCGGAAGAGGUGAGUGGAACUCCUAGUGUAGAGGUGGAAUUCGUAGAUAUUAGGAAGAACACCAGUGGCGAAGGCGGCUCACUGGUCCGGUACUGACGCUGAGGUGCGAAAGCGUGGGGAGCAAACAGGAUUAGAAACCCUAGUAGUCC
rnacentral:rRNA from 1 species